ensembl:snRNA LOC120103197 U6 spliceosomal RNA
AUGCUCGCUUCGGCAGCACAUAUACUAAAAUUGGAAAGAUACAGAGAUUAGCAUGGCCCCUGCAAAAGGAUGACACACAAAGCGUGAAGCGUUCCAUAUUUUU